UUUUUUUUUUUUUUUUUUAGGGUCACACCUGUGGCAUAUGGAAGUUCACAAGCUAGGGGUCGAAUAGGAGCUACGACUGACAGCCGCCUACUCCACCGCCACAGCAACGCCAGAUCCAAGACUUGUCUGCGACCUACACCACAGCUCAGGUCAUCACCAGAUCCUUAACCCACUAAGCAAGGCCAGGGAUCGAACCCUCAUUCUCACGGAUACUAGUCAGGCUUGUAACCAGCUGAGCCACAGUGGGAACUCUGGCGGAGUGUUUUCUAAGAAGUUGUCCAGAGCAUUCAUUAGAGAGGGGUUGAGGGCAACCAGACACAUACCUGUGCCCGAGUUUCCUCCCCUGUGCAGAGGGGCUCACACUUGCUGCGAACUGGCUCUGGGGAGAAGCAUAACAGGUAGGGGCUUAAGUGGGGCCCUGUGUCUUUGAAGGCUGGCACUAAUUGCCCACCACUAUACUCUGGGGACUUAUAAAUCAAGAGAGGUUGUUCCUUGCUCUAGAGAUGCCCACAGUCAAAUUUCGUCUUCCAGAGAGGGGCAAACCUGGAUUUAAUCCCAGCUCCUCUGCUACUGAGUUAUGAUCUUGGACAAGUCACAUGGUUUCUCUGAACCUCAGCUUAUACCUCCGUCAAACAGGGAUAAUGAUGGCCACUGCUUGAGGCUAAGUGCCCAGCCCACUGCUGACAUCCGGCAUACAUUCGAAAAAUCUAUUUCCCUUCCGCUUCCAUCUUGAGCUCCUUUUUCCUGAGACACAGUGGUGCAGUUCAGGACUUUGCCUGCAGAGGGUGCCAGAGCACCAAGGACUCCUGGGUCCCGAGCUACAGGAGCAGCACAGGGCUGCUGGGGGAGAGGUAAACCAGCCAAGGUCUUCUGGGUCCCCGGCCUAGGGCUCCUCUCUCUCCCGGUGCUCCGUCCAGGCCCUCCCGGCCCAGCCAGCCUGCUGCCCACAGGCUCCCCUGCCCAGGCUCCGUCCAAUCCAAAUGCCAGUGCUCUUUCCGUCGCUGGAUAGAACUGCUGUCCUUGAUAAGAGGACAAGUUGGCUUGAUAAAAUCAGUCAUGCCAGAAAGCUGCUAGAUAAUGCUCAUUCCUCCCAGGUAACAUACGUGGGUUUUAACAGGGGCUUCUGAACAUGUAGUUGGGAAUAAGCGGGCAUUCCAGGUGCUAACAUGAAGUGGGGCUCCUGGAGGCAGUGUGCAGGGGAGGGUUUAGCUCGUAGCUUCAGGGAGUUUACAUCAGAUUAAACAGAUAAAACUGCUCCUAAUCCACCUUUUUCUUACCUACAAAAUCACAAUUUCAUAUGGUCCGAAUUAAUAUUUCACACCUUCACCUCUUCUCAACUUCCCUACAGACCCUAGCUCUUUAUUUAUUUAUCCAUCUCUUUAUUUCUUUACCUUUUCCAUCACAUUUCUACCCUCAAGUUCUGUUUUCACUCUAGGUUUGCCCCUCCUGGUCCUACAGUUUCAGGUUCUUUCCUUGCCACGGCCACCCCUCACUCCUGGAGCGGCAGUUGCUGGGACAGCCUUGGCCCCUCCUGGUGGCUCCAGAGCUUAUACCUGGGGCUCCGGCCAGCCAGAGGCUCCAGCUCCCCCCAGCCAGGCUGUCCCAUGAGCUCUCUCUCAGGCUCCCAGCACACCCCCUCACCCUCCCAGACUCUGGAGUGAGUCCCACAGAAUAAUUAUUUGAACCUCUUUGAGUAGAAUCCUCCUUAACUGUAGAAAGUAAAAGGAUAGUGCCCACUGUGAGAGGCUGCCAUAAGGAACAAACAGAGUAAUGACUGUUAAAAAAAAAUAACACCGGGCCUGGCGGAUGAUAGAUAGUCUGCAAGUUACAAUCCCUCUCUCAGGACCCCAGGCACCCACCAUCUCCAAAACCAAAGCCUCCAAAGCCACCUAAGAGUCCCACCCACCCCUCCCCCAAAUCCCAUGUUUCCUGUUGCAUCCCCACCGCACACCAGCUUGUCACUGUGGUUUAGUCCCCUUCUCCAGACAGUCUGCAAUCCUUGCCUUUAAAGGCAAGAAACCCAGGUCAGCUACUCCUGCGAUCGCUUCCUCAUGGGACAGGGCUGGGUCUGGGAACAGGGCUCAGUAAUUCCCCAUGGGACCGAGUCCUGCCUCCCUGGGCUUCUCCCAUCCUGGGAGGACCCUGGGAUCGCCCCUUCACACAGCCAGCGCAGUGAUGGUGAUACCAGAUCCGUGUGGCAAUAUCAGUAUUUCUAUAUUUAUCCCAAGUAAUAAAAAUAUCUCAUAUUCUCGUUCUAAAUGGGACAGAGUUGCCAUUAACAUCUGCGGUUUCUCUCAGACGUUGAUCCAUCUGAUAGGGGCUGCAAGCCCUCUGCUUUUCAGCCCAUCUCUGGUUAGGAUGCUAGGGGAAGAUGCCCUGAUUAAAACAAACUAUCCCAGAGGAAGAGGGGCCCGUCCUUAAGAAAAUACAUCUGGCUUUGAAGGUUAAAUAAAGAGGACCUGUGGCGGGAAUAGAGGGGUCUGUGGCCCUGGAGGGAAGGGAGGCGGGGUCGGGCAGGGGCAAGGCAGCUGGAAGUCAGCCCCAGAAAUGCCUGCCCCGUCCUCUCCUCCCUACUAUAGCUAUUUGUUCUUAGCAUCUCACCCCACCCCUCACUGUAGUUCUAAAAGAAGGUCUGUCAGGGCUUCCUGAAGUAGGGAGGGACACAGGAGAAGGUGCUCCAUCCCAUCAGGGACAAAAGCAGAGGCUUUGCGGGGGUUUUCCAUGGGGAAACUGCACGUGCACUCAAUGUGAAGUUUUAAAGUGCUGUAGAAGUACCAUUUUAGAGUUUGAGUCCGAAAAAGACAAGAAUAAUGGUAUUAAGCUCGAAAAAUAUAACUGAGCUAAAAGGAUCAAACUACCUCCGAGUAACUGUGUCCCGAACAAGCUCGAGAAUAUUUAUAGAAGCAAAGGUCUAUACAGCCUCCAACAAUUCGUCAUGUCUAGCAGCCAUCAAAAAUGACUAGGCAUGCAAAGCAGGAAAAUAUGAUAUAAAAUGAAAAUAAAAAUCAAUUGAUACUAUUCAGAAUGGUGAGAGAUGAUAGAAGAGGGGGAUGGGCACUCGAAAAGUUAAUAUAAUUGUAAGUCUGUUCAAAACGUUAGCAGAAAGAUUAAGUAGGGAUAGGAAAGACAUGAGAUUAACAGAUACAAACCACUCUACAUAAAAUAGGUAGGCAACAAGGAUGUACUGCAUAGCACAGGGAAUUACAUCCAAUAGCUUGUAACACCCAAUAGCUUAUAUUCCAUUAUAGAAUGGAAUGGAAUGUGCAAACAUCUGAAUCACCGUGCUAUACACCUGAACAUGCACCAGACUGUAUAUCAGCAUACUGCAAUCCAAAAAAAGACCCAAAUCAAAUUUCCUGAAAUAAAAAGCUAGUCUGAGAAGGAAAAAAAUAAAACUGGAUGUGACAUAUUAAAUACGGCAGAUGUGAGGAUGGGUAAAGGUAAAACCAAAGCCAUAGAAGCUACCCAAACAGAACUGUGGAAACAAGAACGAAAGGGCAGGUAAAGUCGGCCGUGGGACAACUUCAUGCAGCCUAACACACAAAUAAUGAGAGGCCACCAGAGACUGCAGUGAGGUAGGGGGAAAAUGCUGAAGCAAUAACAG
rnacentral:lncRNA from 1 species